AAGUCGAACGGUCUCUUCGGAGAUAGUGGCGGACGGGUGAGUAACGCGUGAGAAUCUGCCUUUAGGUUCGGGACAACAGUUGGAAACGACUGCUAAUACCGAAUGUGYYKCAMGRUGAAAGAUUUAUYGCCURGAGAUGAGCUCGCGUCUGAUUAGCUAGUUGGUGGGGUAAAAGCGUACCAAGGCGACGAUCAGUAGCUGGUCUGAGAGGAUGAUCAGCCACACUGGGACUGAGACACGGCCCAGACUCCUACGGGAGGCAGCAGUGGGGAAUUUUCCGCAAUGGGCGAAAGCCUGACGGAGCAACGCCGCGUGAGGGAGGAAGGCUUUUGGGUUGUAAACCUCUUUUCUCAAGGAAGAUAAUGACGGUACUUGAGGAAUCAGCAUCGGCUAACUCCGUGCCAGCAGCCGCGGUAAUACGGAGGAUGCAAGCGUUAUCCGGAAUAAUUGGGCGUAAAGCGUUCGUAGGUGGUUUUGCAAGUCUGCUGUUAAAGCGUGUAGCUUAACUACAUAAUGGCGGUGGAAACUGCAAAACUAGAGUGCGUUCGGGGCAGAGGGAAUUCCUGGUGUAGCGGUGAAAUGCGUAGAUAUCAGGAAGAACACCGGUGGCGAAGGCGCUCUGCUAGGCCGCAACUGACACUGAGGGACGAAAGCUAGGGGAGCGAAUGGGAUUAGAUAC
rnacentral:rRNA from 1 species